GCUCAGAUUGAACGCUGGCGGCAGGCCUAACACAUGCAAGUCGAACGGUAACAGGAAGCAGCUUGCUGCUUCGCUGACGAGUGGCGGACGGGUGAGUAAUGUCUGGGAAACUGCCUGAUGGAGGGGGAUAACUACUGGAAACGGUAGCUAAUACCGCAUAACGUCGCAAGACCAAAGAGGGGGACCUUCGGGCCUCUUGCCAUCGGAUGUGCCCAGAUGGGAUUAGCUAGUAGGUGGGGUAACGGCUCACCUAGGCGACGAUCCCUAGCUGGUCUGAGAGGAUGACCAGCCACACUGGAACUGAGACACGGUCCAGACUCCUACGGGAGGCAGCAGUA
rnacentral:rRNA from 1 species